rnacentral:rRNA from 1 species
GUGAGGAAUAUUGGUCAAUGGGCGCAAGCCUGAACCAGCCAUGCCGCGUGCAGGAAGACGGUCCUAUGGAUUGUAAACUGCUUUUAUUUGGGAAUAAACUCCGGUACGUGUACCGGCCUGAAGGUACCAAAUGAAUAAGCACCGGCUAACUCCGUGCCAGCAGCCGCGGUAAUACGGAGGGUGCAAGCGUUAUCCGGAAUCAUUGGGUUUAAAGGGUCCGCAGGCGGUCUUAUAAGUCAGUGGUGAAAGCCUACAGCUCAACUGUAGAACUGCCAUUGAUACUGUUGGACUUGAAUUCGAUCGAAGUGGGCUGAAUGUGACAUGUAGCGGUGGAAUGCUUAGAUAUGUCACAGAACACCGAUAGCGAAGGCAGCUCACUAAGUCUGGAGUGACGCUCAGGUACGAAAGCGUGGGAAACAAACAGGAUUAGAAACCCCUGUAGUCC